UUUAAGCAUAUCACUCAGUGGAGGAAAGACAGGCAACCGCGAUUGCCCCAGUAAUGGCGAAUGAAUUGGCAACACAACCUGUUAAGGUGGCUCAUCCCGAAGUGGUUUCCCUUCCAGCACUGCCCCCACCUGUGGUGGGCAGCCUGCGGUUGGCUACCGUGGAAUCCAGCAGAUGCUGUGGGCUGUGGAGUGGGCAGCAUGCUGUGAGUGAGGACUGUGCCAGGAAGGGCCCUGGAAUGGCCCACAUCAGAGGGAGAGUGUCCCGUACCACCCGUGCACAGUCCCUUGCUUGUGGCAUGGCUGUCUGCAUCCAGGAGUAGAAUGGCUUGGGACUGCAGUUUGAAGUGCAAGGUGUAUCCAUUGCAAGGCAGAAUACUGACCUGGGACCGAUAGAGCACAAGUAGAGUGAUUGAAGGAUGCAAAGGACUUUGCAAAGAGGGUUAAAAGUCCCUGAAGCUGUGGCAGCAACGGCGGAGAGUGGAGCUGUGAAGUACAGAACCCUGUCUGGUCCCCCCAAAGUGACCCUUUGGUGGUGGUUGUGGUGAUGCAUGUGGAGGGACACACCCUCCCCUUGUUCAUCCACCUCUGGACCAGAACAUGGGAACCCAACAUUCCAAGCAACCUUGGGCCAGCCCAGCACUGGCCAGGAAGCCCUGCCCCCAUGGGGAGGAUGCUACCCUGGCAGUGCCUGGUGACACUCUGCGUGCCUGGGCCUGAGGCUUAGAUUGGAUGGUUUGACCUUGUGGCGCAUGUAUCUCCUCCCCCUGUCUUCCCACCACCAAACCAAUGGGCUGUGAUGCGUUGACCACCUGUGCAGCAGCAAAGCCCCUCUGUGGAGGCAGCAGCAGAGUCAUGGUAGUGCAACACCCUGCAUGGGGGAAGCAACAGGGGAGAGACAGACAGACACCUGCUUGUACCUGUGUCAUCCUCAUUGUCUUGAUGAUGAGUGAACACAACCCCUGGUGUGUCCCCGGACAUGCCAGUCACUGUGCCUGGUCAUGGCUUGAGGCUGGUGGAUGCAUGGUGGCUGCACCACCCUAUGGCUGGUGGCUCCUGUGUGACCGCGUGGUCUCCCAGACAGAGCAUGGUGUGAGAGGCAGAGUGGAGCUUGGGCCAUCAGUGCCACCCUCUGCCCGUCUUGAAACACGGAUCAAGGAGUCUAUGGAGCUUGCGCACAGUUGGAAGGUUCCCACAAUGGAAGCCGCAGUGCAUGGUGAAGGCAACAGACCCAGAUGGUGAAUCCCCUUGUGGGAGACAGUGCUGCAUGGGACACCAGUCCUGAAGUCCAAUGGACAAGGUUCUGAGUGAGUGCAAGGUCCCUGGGACCCGAAAGGUGGUGAACUAUACCGUUCUAUGGUGAAGCCUUGGGAAACUGAGGUGGAGGCCAGCAGCUGUUCUGACGUGCAAAUUGUGUAGCCUGAGUGUGGCAUAGGGGUGAAAGGCCAAUCGAACCACCUAGUAGCUGGUUUCCUUCGAAGUUUCCCUCAGGAUAGCUGGGCUUGAAUGCAACCCACCAUGAGAGGUUAUGUCCGGUAAAGCAACGCAUGAGAGGCCAUAAACUUACCUGGGGAGGUUGUCCUCCUCAACCUAUUCUCGAACUGUGAAUGGGCAUGAACAACACCCACAAUGCAAGCUCCUUCACUGGUGCUGGAGUCUGUGCUAUGGACAGUCCUUUGGCAACUUCUGAGCAUGUUUGUCUGUGGUGGCAGCCAGGAUGGUUCCCCAUCCAGGUCACACCCACAGUCCACAUCUGUGGUGCUGUGUGGUGCUGUGCUGUGUGGUUGCUGUGGUCUGAUUGUGUGGGCCUCUCUGUGGGGCCACACCAGCCACAAUGCAACAGAAAGCCCCACCACCCUGGGACUUGCAGAGUGCAAGGAAGGUGAGAGUGCCCACAGCCACUGCGCGAAGCGCUAUCUCAAAAAAGCAGAGACAGAGCUGCCACCCCUUGGGAGAACAGACAGGCCUAUGUGGACCAUGAUUGGUAAGCAGUGCUGGUGAUGCGGGAUGCUCCGAGAGUGGACUUACAGGUCCAGAGUGCUGGCUCAUACCCAGAUCCCACAAAGGGUGUUGCUUGCUAGAGAUAGCAGGACGGUGGCCAUGAAGGUUGGAACCCGCCAAGGAAUGUGUAACAACUCACCUGCCGAAGCGUGCAGUCCCGAAAAUGGAUGGUGCCCAAGUCAGUGAAGCUGAAUUUGCCUCACAGUCCACUGCCACUGUGGCAGCAACAAGCAGAGCAUUGGCAUGUAGAAUGGACAUGGGAGAUUGCAGUGCCUGCUGGGGUCACCCCUGGCUUGAGUGUCUCCUGGCGCAGAUCUUGGUUGCAGUAGCAAGUACUCCAUCGGGGAAGGUGCAGAACAACCCCUGCCGUGUGUGGUUGAGGACUGGAGUGGAGCAGGUUUCCACAACAAACAGCCGUUGAAUGUGGGUCAGCCGACCGUGAGCCAAGUGGUAAAUUCACUGAACAACCAAAGCUGCUGUGCCCUCUCUGUGGCCUCCACCCACUGGAUGUGACACCCACACGCAGCAAGUGCCCAAUCUGACUUGGAAGAAGAGGGACCUCUCUGUCAGCAUUUCCUCACCACAACCACCCCCUGUGGGUCUGUGGGUGUCCCUGUCUGCUGUCUGACAUGGCCUUGGUGCAAGCCUGGGCAUGGGUCACAUCAGAGGGGGAUGCUAUGUCAUGUUGAGCAGGGAGCCCAUGAGCUAUGUCUUGCUGCACUCUGUGCUGGUGAUCAUGUGGACCCACCAAGGAUGUACAUGGCAGGAAUGGCAAACAGGCAAGCAGGGGCAACAUUCUGCUGCAAUGGGCCUGGGGUGCCCAGACUUGAGUGGUGACUCUCCAUUGAUUGCUGGAUCAAGCAGGCCUCGGGGCAGUGGACCCCCUGAGGAGUUCUCUUUUCCUCCUGAUGCAGGUUCACGUGGGCUGUUGAAUGGCAUGACAGAUGGUGGCAUAUAGGCCCUCCACCCAGCAGGGCAGCAAUCUCACAAUGUUGGUACAGCUGAUGGUCUCCUAGCUGAGUGUCUGCUGUGUUUGUCUGUGGGGUCUCUGGCCCAUCACCAACAACCUCCCCACUUGGGGUGUGGAAGGGGGCUUCCAGUGUCCAGGUUGACAACAACACCUCCUCUGCUGAUGUCUCAGCACAGACAGCAAGGAUGAAUGGCACUGUGUCCCACUCCCACCAUCACCAAAGGGGAAGCUGAGAGCCCCGCAGCACAGACACAUGCAACCUCCCUUCUGGCAGUCACUGGCUCCAAUGAAAGUCCUGUGUGGACGUGUGCCCCUAACCCCUGGGUUCUCGUACUGAAUCACCGCAGCCGGUCUCCUCGGCUAGACGCCGCUAGUCCACAGAUUGAAUGCAGCUAAGGGAAGUCGGCAAACUAGCUGUGUACCCUCGGAAGAUGCAGUGGCUCCAGAGGCCAAGCCACCCGUUGGGUCCCACCUCAGUGCCCUAAAGUAUGUUCUAUAACUGCCUGUGUACUUACACAAUGUUCGCGCACACUUAGAUGUUGCCUCUGGGAUUGGUGCUGUCCUCUGUGGUGAGUGUAACAGCAGGCUCAGCCUGCCCAGGAUAUACAACGCUCCUCCCUGGUGUCUACAUGGUGGCCCAUAUGGAACUGAUGCUGUGCAGGGGAAUCUGACUGUUUAAUUGAAACCCAGCUUUGUGAAGGGAUCAGCUGGCUGAUUCCAUGAGGUGACUUCUGCCCAGUGCUCUGAUUGUCACCACGAAGAGAUUCAGUGAAGCGCGGGUAAACGGCGGGAGUAACUAUGACUCUCUUAAGGUAGCCAAAUGCCUCGUCAACCAAUUAUUGACGCGCAUGAAUGGAUCAACGAGAUUCCUGCUGUCCCUAGGUGCUGUCUGGUGAACCAACCGCCAAGGGAACGGGCUUGGAUGUGUCAGCGGGGAAAGAA
rnacentral:rRNA from 1 species